rnacentral:rRNA from 1 species
AGAGUUUGAUCCUGGCUCAGAACGAACGUUAGCGGCGCGCCUAACACAUGCAAGUCGAGCGAGAAAGGGGAAACCCCGGUAAAGCGGCGCACGGGUGAGUAACACGUAGGUAAUUUACCCUCGGGUGGAGGAUAACUUUCCGAAAGGAAGGCUAAUACUGCAUGAGACCACGGCUUCGAAAGGGGUUGAGGUCAAAGCCG